GCCUAGAGGACAAAGGCGCGAGCGCGAACGUGAGGGGAAUGAAUGAGAGAAUCACGAGGGUAGGUUAAGCCAUACGCAAGCAUGUGCAAGAGGACAGGUAAGGAAGCGGGCUGGCAGCCAGUAAGGCAAAGGACUUUCAUGCUGCAGACCGUCGCACUUUCUCAGGAAAGUGUGCGUGGACGGGAUUGAUGGUAAGGUUGGGAAACAACGUAAUGCGUCGCACUUCCACACGCACUUCCACACACGCACGAUGCGCAGGUGUCGCUUGUCAAGAACUAAAUAAAGUGUCCGCAGACAACCCCCCUUACAUGCGGCAAACAUUCCCCCUGCCCUCCCAGGAGUUGACAGCGGCAUUCGUAAGAGAAUAUUUGCAUGGAGUGAGUUUUACUAUGGUUUUUAUUGCUUCACAAGCGGUCCAGCAGACUAGCAACUCACCGCUACCGGCGGCGGUGGUGACGAUGUCGGUGGCGGCGACCGACGCGUUGGUGGGGGACGAGGCGGAGGCCGGGGUGGCGGUGGGCUUGGCGGUGGGGGCGUCGGCGGCCGUGGACUAGGCGGCGGCGGGCUUGGCGGUGGUGGGUUAGGAGGCGGUGGGCUUGGCGGUGGAGGGCUUGGCGGUGGUGGGCUUGGCGGUGGAGGGUUUGGCGGCGGUGGGCUUGGUGGUGGAGGGUUUGGCGGCGGUGGGCUUGGAGGUGGAGGGCUUGGCGGCGGUGCGCUUGGCGGAUCGGGGCUUGGCGGGUCAGGGCUUGGCGGAUUGGGGCUUGGCGGGUCAGGGCUUGUUGGCAAGUUAGGCCAUGCAGGAUCUGGAGGGCUCGGCGACGUCGGAGGUGAUGGUGGGCUCGGCGGCGGGGGUGACGGGUCAGGGGGUGGCGGCCUGGGUGACGGCGGCCUUGGUGGCGGCCUGGGCGGCGGCCUGGGCGACGGCGGCCUGGGGGGUGGGUUGGGCGGUCGCGGACUUGGAGGCGGCCGUGGGCUCGGCGGCGGGGUGGGCGGCACGGGGCUCGGGGGCGGUGGUCGUGGCGGCGGCGGGCUGGGGGGAGGCGGGCUCGGCGGCGCCGAUGGGAGCGUCUCAAGCACGGAAAGUGGGGGGCACUCAUCCGGCGAGACAUCGUAUCGGCAGAGGUAGACACGCAAAGUGU
rnacentral:lncRNA from 1 species